rnacentral:lncRNA from 1 species
CUGGAGAACAUAACAUUUUGAGAUAGAUAGGAACUACAGGGACACCGGCGGCUUUGUUCCUCUUUCCUCUGGAAGCCAAGAUGUUCUUCAAAACUUUUCCCAGUGAGUUUCAUGGCCAAUGGGAUAUAUAUACAACCGCAGGUGGGAUGCCUUUUGGGGUCCCUUGGCUGUGAUCCAAGUGGAGCAUGUGAAUCAACAUUCUAUCUACCCUGGGAAGCCGUCUUGAUACUUGAGGGACCAACUCACAGUGGAUCUUAGGCUUCUUUGUCCCUUGCUGCAUAUCUGUGCAAAGUUAGAUUGCUCAUUUGAGACCUGUCUGACUUAUCCA